AUUGAACGCUGGCGGCAUGCCUUACACAUGCAAGUCGAACGGCAGCACGGGGGGAAACCCCUGGUGGCGAGUGGCGAACGGGUGAGUAAUACAUCGGAACGUGCCCAGUAGUGGGGGAUAACCUCUCGAAAGAGAGGCUAAUACCGCAUACGACCUACGGGUGAAAGCGGGGGACCGCAAGGCCUCGCGCUAUUGGAGCGGCCGAUGUCGGAUUAGCUAGUUGGCGGGGUAAUGGCCCACCAAGGCGACGAUCCGUAGCUGGUCUGAGAGGACGAUC
rnacentral:rRNA from 1 species